AGCUAAUACUUGCUUUAGCACUCUUGAUUUAUUUCUUGAGUGUGUACUUGUUAAGCCUUAUAAGAAAAGAGUUAUUAACUUAAGGAAUUAUAACAAAGAAGUAACACGUAAUGGAUCAUUCUAUUUUUAGUGUGUAUCAAUCGAGUUUCUGACCUAUCAGCUUUUGAUGUUAGGGUAUUGGCCUAACAUGGCUAUGACGGGUAACGGGGAAUUAGAGUUCGAUUCCGGAGAGGGAGCCUGAGAAAUAGCUACCACAUCUAAGGAAGGCAGCAGGCGCGUAAAUUACCCAAUUCUAAAGAAGAGAGGUAGUGACAAGAAAUAACAAUACAAGGCCAAUCUGGCUUUGUAAUUGGAAUGAUGGGAAUUUAAAACCUUCCCAAAAUUCAAUUGGAGGGCAAGUCUGGUGCCAGCAGCCGCGGUAAUUCCAGCUCCAAUAGCGUAUAUUAAAAUUGUUGCAGUUAAAACGCUCGUAGUUGAAUUUCAAAGAAUCGAUAUUUUAAGUAACGCUUCUAGCUACAAAUCCACAUAACUGAUGCCUCCGCGUAUCGACUUUGUGCGCAUUUUAGCUAUUAUGUGUUCUUUUAAUUAAAAUGAUUCUUUUUAAGAUUCAUCUAUUAAGAAUUUGCUUCGGCAUAAUUUUUUUUGAUGAUCUUGUUACUUUGAGUAAAUUAGAGUGUUCAAAGCAAACAGAUAUAGCAUUUGUGCGUUUGAAUACUACAGCAUGGAAUAACAAAAUUGAACAAGUCAGAAUUUUUUUGUUCUUUUUUCUUAUUUUGGCUUAGUUACGAUUAAUAGGAGUAGCUUGGGGGCAUUUGUAUUCAGAUGUCAGAGGUGAAAUUCUUAGAUUUUCUGGAGACAAACAACUGCGAAAGCAUUUGCCUAAAAUACUUCCAUUAAUCAAGAACGAAAGUUAAGGGAGUGAAGACGAUCAGAUACCGUCGUAAUCUUAACCAUAAACUAUGCCGACUAGGCUUUGGAUGAAAGAUUUUAAAAUAAGAGUUUU
rnacentral:rRNA from 1 species